CAUUAUUGAAUAAACUUGGUGGGUUGUUGCUGGCUUCUUGGAGCAUGUGCACGCUCAUCGACUUUAUCCAUCCACCUGUGCACCUUCUGUAGUCUUGGAAAUGAAAGCGGCUGAGCCUCGAUGGGCAUUUUGCCCUAUCGGAUGUGAGGAAUGCUUUUGUGAAGGCAUGGCUCUCCUCAAAAGGCCUGUGAUCAUUUCUUGGACUAUGUUUUUCCAUAUACCACAUAGCAUGUUGUAGAAUGUAUCGGUGGGCCUCUGUGCCUAUAGAACUCAAUACAACUUUCAGCAACGGAUCUCUUGGCUCUCGCAUCGAUGAAGAACGCAGCGAAAUGCGAUAAGUAAUGUGAAUUGCAGAAUUCAGUGAAUCAUCGAAUCUUUGAACGCACCUUGCGCUCCUUGGUAUUCCGAGGAGCAUGCCUGUUUGAGUGUCAUUUAAUUCUCAACCAUGCUGGCUUUGUAAAGGUCAGUUGUGGCUUGGAUUGUGGGGGUAUUCCUGCGGGUCUCUCUUGAGGUCGGCUCCCCUAAAAUGCAUUAGCAGAACCGUUUGCGGUCAGUCGCAGGUGUGAUAAUUAUCUACGCCAAAGACCAAGGCUGCUCUCAGUAUAUUCAGCUUCUAAUGUCGCAGGUCAG
rnacentral:sRNA from 1 species